GAGAACUCAACUAGGAGAUGAAGAAAAACCCUCAGAAACCUCAAGGCCAAGAGGACGUGGUGGAGGCCAACUUGGGGGUUGCAGGACAUCACCCACCUACCCACGAGAUGAUCCAUUAAUAGCUCGGUGGUUCUCACCUGAGCAGGCAUUGGCGCUACCUGAAGCUGAGAUGAAACCCAAAUGGCUGAGUGCCGCACCUACAGUGUCUGAUUCAUCAGAGUGGACAGCCCUUAUCAGAAUCACCUG
rnacentral:lncRNA from 1 species